CCUGGCACUCUCUGCACCUGGAACCCCGCUGCUCUUCUCCCUCUUUUGUUCCCCAAAACCUCAACACAGCACCGCAAACCCGCACUAUCUCCCCAGGUAACCCAGUUUCCAUCACCUGUUCCCAGCUAACCAUUUCUCUAAGGGGUAGCCAGACCUGGUAUUCAGCAUUUCUGCAGCACUUGAGCUCGGAAGGAAUUUGGAGGGAGAACUGCUAAUUAGCUCCUGUCUCAUCUGUCAGAAAAUCAAAGCAUGCUCCCAUGAGGAUGCGGGUGAGAGUGAAUAAAGCUGACGACUCAUUAAGUGCAGCAGAGAGAGGAAACUGCAUCUAAAUCACCACUACAUUAACGAGGUGACUUCUUAUCAGUGAUGCUCAAGCUACAGACUCCGACAGCUAGCCCCAGUAACCUACAAAAAGGUCACUUCUCUCCAAGGGAGGAAUCAUGAAAACAAGCAUCCCUUGAGGACCAAGCACGGAGGGAGGAUCGAUGGUUACAUCAGCAUGGCAGACGACGGGGUAAUACUGAAAAAGAAAGCAGGAUCAGAAGCCUGUAGCCCUUGAGUUCAAGAAGAGCCUAAUCUAAUUAAGUGGAGACCACUAUCAAAUUACCAGCUCUCUUUUAACGUAGCCAUUUUAAGUGGUUCAGUGUAUUUAUAGUAGGCGAGUUAGGGAGGGCUUUGCUCUCUUGAGGUUAUGCUUGUGUAUAAGGCAGAGAUACACAAUAAAGUCAAGA